rnacentral:lncRNA from 1 species
UGCUUCUCGUCGAGGAGAACACGAGCUUCCUCCACAACAACCCACCCGGUGACCUCUCCUCUGCAGAGCGGGCACACUGGUUUGCAGCUCUCUUCCAAAACCUUAGACAGUGUCUCAUCGUCGUCAUCUUCAGGAGCAGGAGAGGGAGGUGAGUCUGUGGAACAGGCGGUGAUGAAACGGUCUAAGCAGUUGGAGUGGAGGUGAUCCGUGUUGCAGACGAAGGCACGGCAUCCGUUUUGGUAAGAAGAGCAUUGGAGGAGGACGCCGUUGUGAGGGGAGUCUAGGCAAAUGGGGCAAACUAAAUCAUCCCAAUUGAUGAUCAGGUGAAAGUCUUGAAGCUGCUUUUCGCAAACGAGUUCCAUAAAGUUCCAAACUUGAGAUUCAAAACCCUUUCUUCUUCUACGUCAUUUCCUUGCUCUGUAUAAUGUAAACGAGGCUGGUGAAACGACUCUAAUGGAUAAAGAAUGCGAGGACAACUCGGAUGGAGAUUUCAAUAAACAGAUCACAUAGCAAAGAAAAAAUCGAAUCCAAACCUUAAAGCGAAAACUAGAAGCGGAUCCGAGUAAGCGAAUUGGUAAAACAAUUAGUUAACGAAACAAAUCGAAUUUAAGUAUUAAGUAUAUGCACAAUAGCAGAGAGAGAAGAAGAAGAAGAAGAAGAAGAAGAAGAAGAAGAAGAAGAAGAAGAAGAAGAAGAAGAAGAAGAAGAAGAAGAAGAAGAAGAAGAAGAAGAAGAAGAAGAAGAAGAAGAAGAAGAAGAAGAAGAAGAAGAAGAAGAAGAAGAAGAAGAGUUCAGUUAAAUAGUAAAUGUUAAACACUGCUGCAGCAACGUUAACUGAAGAUGGUAAACUCAGGUACAAGAGCAUGAAAGACGGCAUGUAAGAGACAACCAAACAAUGUACAAUAUCCAAAAAAAACUUUUUUGGUUUUUUUCUUGUUUACGUUUUUGUACAAGGCUGCAACUGCGAGUACAUGUCACAAGACAAACAAACCUAAAUAAAAUUUAUACUGAAAUUAAAGAAAACAGAGGUCCAAAACCAAUAACACUGGCUACGAAUAGUCUGGUCUGCUUCAUUUGCUUCCAACUUCAAUUUCCAGCUGACUGAUAAAAGAAAAACAAAACAAGAAAUCAAUAGAAACGUAAGAAACCAACAAGAAGAUAGAAUCAAGAGCAUAGUGACAGCAUUGAAUAAUACCUAAUUUGCAUAGAAGCGAGAACGACGCCUUCUUGAAUUGUAAACCAGAGAGAACCUAGCAUCAAGCAACCUCUAUUAUGUUAUUAUCAUGAUCUAGUGGUGCCAAGAGAUUAUCUAUCAAAGAGUAACUAAAUGAUUCUAACCUUUGAUGCAUAGCGUUACUUCUGUUAAGUCCAUUCGUUGUUACAAACUCAUCAUCGAUCUCAUCUACUCUAUACACCGGGAACUCAAACGACGCCACCGAGCUAUCAUCAGAGUUCGAAUUAUCAUAGCUAGAGCGGCGACUCCCUCUCCCUCUCCCUCUCCUACUCUCACCCAUCAUCCUCGCCCUCCUCCUAUUCCUCCUCGCAUUCCUUAUAUUAUCAAACAUUUUAUACAGUAUACAAGACGUCCACCAGCUACUACUCCCUUCAUUGCCAGGACCCUCCUCAAACUCAUCUCCUGUGCCAUCACCACCAUCAUCAUCAUCUCCAUACUCAAUCACAUAGUCUCCCAACACCACACCUCUAGGAACCUCGGAGUGGAUCGUGCUCAGCACGUCGAUGAUCUCAGACGACUGCUGGAAAUUAUCCCAGUCUAGCUUCCUCGCGGGAUCGAUCUUGGAAGGGCGAGAGUCAGGAUGCUCUGACUUAGCGUGCUGGCGAAGCUCGGUGUAAGUUCCAAUAAAUCUACACCCCUCUUCCUCGCAAGAACGGUGCUUCUCGUCGAGGAGAACACGAGCUUCCUCCACAACAACCCACCCGGUGACCUCUCCUCUGCAGAGCGGGCACACUGGUUUGCAGCUCUCUUCCAAAACCUUAGACAGUGUCUCAUCGUCGUCAUCUUCAGGAGCAGGAGAGGGAGGUGAGUCUGUGGAACAGGCGGUGAUGAAACGGUCUAAGCAGUUGGAGUGGAGGUGAUCCGUGUUGCAGACGAAGGCACGGCAUCCGUUUUGGUAAGAAGAGCAUUGGAGGAGGACGCCGUUGUGAGGGGAGUCUAGGCAAAUGGGGCAAACUAAAUCAUCCCAAUUGAUGAUCAGGUGAAAGUCUUGAAGCUGCUUUUCGCAAACGAGUUCCAUAAAGUUCCAAACUUGAGAUUCAAAACCCUUUCUUCUUCUACGUCAUUUCCUUGCUCUGUAUAAUGUAAACGAGGCUGGUGAAACGACUCUAAUGGAUAAAGAAUGCGAGGACAACUCGGAUGGAGAUUUCAAUAAACAGAUCACAUAGCAAAGAAAAAAUCGAAUCCAAAC